UGCGUUUGGGUCCCCUUCCAUGGUGUUGGAGUUUUGUUGUUUUGCUCUUUGCAAUAAAUUUUGCUGUUGCUCACCUUUUAGGUCCACACUACCUUUAUGAGCUGUAACACAGUGAAGAUCUGCAGGUUCACUCCUGUAAACCAGCAAAACCAGGAAGCCACCACAAGAAACAACUCUGGAGCCGCCACCUUUAAGAGCCAUAACACUCACUGUUGAAGGUCUGCGGCUUCAUUCCUGAAGUCAGCGACACCACGAACCCACAGGGAGGAGCAAACAGCUCCGGACGCACCACUUUGAAGAGGACGCGCCACUUUUAAGAGCUGUAACGCUCCCUGCGAAGGUCUGUGGCUUCACUCCUGAGGUCGGCGAAACUACGAACCCGCUGGGAGGAAGGAACAACGCGGAUGCGCCACCUUUAAGAGCUGUACCACUCCCUGCGAAGGUCUGGGGCCUCACUCAUGAAGUCGUGCAUAGACCAUGAACUCUCUAGAAGGAAGAAACUUCGGACACAUCUGAACAUCUGAAGGAACAAACUCCGGACCCGCCGUCUUUAAGAACUAUAAUGCCGUGAAGGUCCGCGGCAGGACCGGGACCAGGAACCCAUCAGAGGGAACCAAUUCCGGACACACAGCUUCGUGGAAUGGUUCUGCACUGUGUGUGUGUGUUUCCCGUCAACCCUGUGCACAAUAUUAGAAGAACACAAGCGUUAAGGCUCCCUCUCAGACCUGUCGAUGGAAGCAUUGUGAUUUUGACAUUGUUGGAUGCUGCACCUAGGUGGAAGAAGAGGAAGAGCCUUGGGGGCUACCAUUCUGGCUGGAGAAGCGGCACGAGGCUCCCUCUUGUGGAUUCAGCAAGGACUGUUGAAAAACUCCCAAAGCAGGGACUUUUAGGCCCACAUGCACUUAGCCUCCUCUUCCCACCUCCUGUUCAUCUCCGUGUCCAAUGUUCCACUGCCAUCGCUGCCAGGAAGUUCUGCAGAGAAGAGUGAAGAAGAACCGUGUGAUCCUAAACAUGUUCUCUGAAGAUAUUAUCAACCCACCAUUGGCCUUAUUUACUGGAAUGUUUUUAUAACCUUCAUUUGACACCUCUUCCCAUCAUUUAAAAUAAAUCUGGUGCUUCCCUGAAUAAUCUCUUGAGAUUUGUACAUGUCUCCCAGCAUCACGUUUGCCCUUUUAACAAGCACACUCCUUCCACUGCUCACGGCCACCUCAGGUUCACUGCAGUCAGGGAAUC
rnacentral:lncRNA from 1 species